rnacentral:rRNA from 1 species
GGGGAAUAUUGGACAAUGGGCGAAAGCCUGAUCCAGCAAUGCCGCGUGAGUGAUGAAGGCCUUCGGGUUGUAAAGCUCUGUCGGGAGGGACGAAAAAGAGCGGGUAACGCCGCGACUUGACGGUACCUCCAAAGGAAGCACCGGCUAACUCUGUGCCAGCAGCCGCGGUAAUACAGAGGGUGCAAGCGUUGUUCGGAAUUACUGGGCGUAAAGCGCGUGUAGGCGGCAGGAUAAGUCGGGUGUGAAAGCCCUCAGCUCAACUGAGGAAGUGCACUCGAUACUGUUCUGCUUGAGUGUCGGAGGGGGUGGCGGAAUUCCCGGUGUAGAGGUGAAAUUCGUAGAUAUCGGGAGGAACACCUGUGGCGAAGGCGGCCACCUGGACGACAACUGACGCUGAGACGCGAAAGCGUGGGUAGCAAAC